AUGCUUCUUCCAUCUGCCCCACCCCACCCCCACUCUGCUUUCUUAAACUGUUUGGAGCAAAACCAGGAUUUGGUGGGCUUGAGACUGCCAACUCCACCGCCAGUGGGUUUAAUUUUGGGGGUUUCGGAUUAACUGCUAAUCCUGCAGUGAACUUUAAUAUUGGGAAUUUCGGUGUUUCUACUACCUCGGCGACUCCGUUCAAUUUUGGUAACAGUCUGGCAAGUGCAGGUGGGUUUGGAGGAUUUGGGACAACAUCUACAACUGCAGGUUCUGCAUUCAGCUUUUCUGCCCCAACUAACACAGGCACUACUGGACUCUUUGGUGGUACUCAGAACAAAGGUUUUGGAUUUGGUACUGGUUUUGGCACAACAACGGGAACUAGUACUGGUUUAGGUACUGGUUUGGGAACUGGACUGGGAUUUGGAGGAUUUAAUACACAGCAGCAGCAGCAAACUACAUUAGGUGGUCUCUUCAGUCAGCCUACACAAGCUCCUACCCAGUCCAACCAGCUGAUAAAUACUGCGAGUGCUCUUUCUGCUCCAACGCUG
rnacentral:lncRNA from 1 species